GCUAACGUCCGUCGUGAAAAGGGAAACAACCCAGACCGCCAGCUAAGGUCCCAAAGUAAUGAUUAAGUGGAAAACGAUGUGGGAAGGCAUAGACAGCUAGGAGGUUGGCUUAGAAGCAGCCAUCCUUUAAAGAAAGCGUAAUAGCUCACUAGUCGAGUCGGCCUGCGCGGAAGAUGUAACGGGGCUAAAUCAUUCACCGAAGCUGCGGACUUGUGCUUGCACAAGUGGUAGAGGAGCGUUCUGUAAGCCUGUGAAGGUUAUCCGGGAGGAUGGCUGGAGGUAUCAGAAGUGCGAAUGCUGACAUGAGUAACGAUAAGGGGAGUGAAAAACUUCCCCGCCGAAAGACCAAGGGUUCCUAUCCCAUGCUAAUCAGGGUAGGGUGAGUCGGCCCCUAAGGCGAGGCUGAAAGGCGUAGUCGAUGGGAAACGGGUUAAUAUUCCCGUACCGGCCAAUACUGCGAUGGGGGGACGGAGAAAGCUAGGCGAGCGCGGCGUUGGUAGUCCGCGUGAAAGUGUGUAGGUUGGGUGUUUAGGAAAAUCCGGACGCCUAAGACUGAGACACGAGACGAGUCACUACGGUGACGAAGUUGCUAACGCUAUGCUUCCAGGAAAAGCCUCUAAGCUUCAGGUAUUGGCGACCGUACCCGAAACCGACACAGGUGGUCAGGUAGAGCAUACCAAGGCGCUUGAGAGAACUCGGCUGAAGGAACUAGGCAAAAUAGUACCGUAACUUCGGGAGAAGGUACGCUCUUUGUUGUGAAGG
rnacentral:ncRNA from 1 species